rnacentral:tRNA from 13 species
GCGGAUGUGGCGAAGUGGUUAACGCAUCGGGUUGUGGCUCCGACAUACGCGGGUUCAAUCCCCGUCAUCUGCCCCA